GAUAAUGGACUGAAGAUAAUGAGAUUACCAGGGGUUAUUCAAUAUUGAGUCUGGCUAUAGAUAGCCAGCUCCUGCUCUGAGGGGAUGGCCUGGUUGCCCUCCUACCUGUAACAACUGCAAUAAGAAAUACUCAAAAUCUAGUCCCACAGUAUAUGAGGCAUGGUGGCAGAUUCAGGGAAAUAAACUUGGCCCCCUGCCUCAAGGAGCUGGAGAGAGAGAA